AGUGAACGCUGGCGGUAGGCCUAACACAUGCAAGUCGAACGGCAGCACAGUAAGAGCUUGCUCUUACGGGUGGCGAGUGGCGGACGGGUGAGGAAUACAUCGGAAUCUACUUUUUCGUGGGGGAUAACGUAGGGAAACUUACGCUAAUACCGCAUACGACCUACGGGUGAAAGCAGGGGAUCUUCGGACCUUGCGCGAUUGAAUGAGCCGAUGUCGGAUUAGCUAGUUGGCGGGGUAAAGGCCCACCAAGGCGACGAUCCGUAGCUGGUCUGAGAGGAUGAUAAGCCACACUGGAACUGAGACACGGUCCAGACUCCUAAGGGAGGCAGCAGUGGGGAAUAUUGGACAAUGGGCGCAAGCCUGAUCCAGCCAUACCGCGUGGGUGAAGAAGGCCUUCGGGUUGUAAAGCCCUUUUGUUGGGAAAGAAAAGCAGCAGGUUAAUACCCAGCUGUUCUGACGGUACCCAAAGAAUAAGCACCGGCUAACUUCGUG
rnacentral:rRNA from 1 species